AGAUUGAACGCUGGCGGCAGGCCUAACACAUGCAAGUCGAGCGGUAGAGAGAAGCUUGCUUCUCUUGAGAGCGGCGGACGGGUGAGUAAAGCCUAGGAAUCUGCCUGGUAGUGGGGGAUAACGUUCGGAAACGGACGCUAAUACCGCAUACGUCCUACGGGAGAAAGCAGGGGACCUUCGGGCCUUGCGCUAUCAGAUGAGCCUAGGUCGGAUUAGCUAGUUGGUGAGGUAAUGGCUCACCAAGGCGACGAUCCGUAACUGGUCUGAGAGGAUGAUCAGUCACACUGGAACUGAGACACGGUCCAGACUCCUACGGGAGGCAGCAGUGGGGAAUAUUGGACAAUGGGCGAAAGCCUGAUCCAGCCAUGCCGCGUGUGUGAAGAAGGUCUUCGGAUUGUAAAGCACUUUAAGUUGGGAGGAAGGGCAUUAACCUAAUACGUUA
rnacentral:rRNA from 1 species